rnacentral:rRNA from 1 species
CCUACGGGUGGCAGCAGUGAGGAAUAUUGGUCAAUGGACGCAAGUCUGAACCAGCCACGCCGCGUGCAUGAAGACGGCUCUCUGAGUUGUAAACUGCUUUUGCACGAGGGUAAACGCAGAUACGCGUAUCUGUCUGCAAGUAUCGUACGAAUCCGGAUCGCCUAACUCCGUGCCAGCAGCCGCGGUAAUACGGAGGAUUCAAGCGUUAUCCGGAGUUAUUGGGUGUAAAGGGUGCGUAGGCGGUCGAAUAAGUUAGAGGUGAAAUCCCGGGGCUCAACUUCGGAAUUGCCUCUGAUACUGUGCGGCUAGAGAGUAGUUGCGGUAGGCGGAAUGUAUGGUGUAGCGGUGAAAUGCUUAGAGAUCAUGCAGAACACCGAUUGCGAAGGCAGCUUACCAAGCUACUUCUGACGUUGAGGCACGAAAGCGUGGGGAGCAAACAGGAUUAGAUACCCCUGUAGUC